UACAGAGGGUGCAAGCGUUAAUCGGAAUGACUGGGCGUAAAGAGUACGUAGGCGGUAAGAUGUGUCAAAGGUGAAAUCCCCGGGCUCAACCUGGGAACUGCCUGUGAAACUAUCUGACUAGAAUAUAGGAGAGGGAAGUGGAAUUUCCGGUGUAGCGGUGAAAUGCGUAGAUAUCGGAAAGAACACCGGUGGCGAAGGCGACUUCCUGGCCUAAUAUUGACGCUGAGGUACGAAAGCGUGGGGAGCAAACAGG
rnacentral:rRNA from 1 species